rnacentral:rRNA from 1 species
GUUUGUUUGGAGUUAUAAAGAAUUUAACCUGCCCCCUGAUUAAUUAUUAAAGGGCCGCAGUAUUAUAACUGUGCAAAGGUAGCAUAAUCAUUAGGUUUUUAAUUGAAAUCUUGUAUGAAUGGUUGGACAAAAGAAAAACUCUCUUUAUAUUAAGUUUUGAAUUUAACUUUUAAGUGAAAAGGCUUAAAUGUCCUAAAGGGACGAUAAGACCCUAUAAAACUUUACAUUGUCAUUAAUUUUGAUUGAAUUUAUGAAAUAAGAAUUUUAUUUGGCUAUUUGUUAUGUUGGGGAGAUAUAAGUAAAAUAUUUUUUUAACUGCUUUGAUAGUUAUACAAUUAUAGAUGGUAAGUAGAAGAUCCUUUUUUAAGAUUAAUAGAUUAAGUUACUUUAGGGAUAACAGUGUGAUUUCUUUUGAGAGUUCUUAUCGAAAAAGAAGAUUGCAACCUCGAUGUUGAAUUAAAAUAUCUAUAUAAUGGAGAGAUUAUAUAAGAAGGUCUGUUCGACCUUGAAAUUUUUACAUGAUUUGAGUUCAAACCGGUGUAAG